GAAAUAAGUGUGCAGACCUCAGCAUACAAGCUUUGGGUCUGGUGUGGAGAAGGAACACAGAGGAAGACCAGUCUUUCUGCGAUGGAGCCAGCAUUAGCUCCACAUACUCCUUCGAUUCACUAUGCGCAAUCAGCAGCAGGGGAGGAUGGGCCCUGGACGGAGGGAUCCAUCUUUGGCGUUUGACGCUCGCAACAGCGUGAUGGAGCGGAAACCCCUGCUUCAGAUGGCAUGACAAUGCCCUCAUGCACAAAGCAAGGUCCAUAAAGAAAUUAUUUGCUGAAUUUGGUGGGGAAGAACUUGACUGGCCUGCACAAAACCCUGAUCUCUACACCAUCAAAGACCUUUGGGAUGAAUUGGAAUGCCAACUGCAAGACAAGCCUUAUGCCCAACAUCAGUGCCCAGCCUCAAAAAUUCCCUUGUGGCUGAAUGGAAGUGAAUCCCCACAGUCAUGUUCCAAAAUUUUGUGAAAGCCUUCCCAGAAGAGUGGAGGCUGUUACAGCAGCAAAGAGGGUUCCAACUCCAUAUUAAUGCCAUGGUUUUGGAAUGAGAUGUGUACAUACGGGUGUGAUGUUCAG